rnacentral:rRNA from 1 species
UUAAGUCGACCGCCUGGGGAGUACGGCCGCAAGGUUAAAACUCAAAUGAAUUGACGGGGGCCCGCACAAGCGGUGGAGCAUGUGGUUUAAUUCGAUGCAACGCGAAGAACCUUACCUGGUCUUGACAUCCACGGAAGUUUUCAGAGAUGAGAAUGUGCCUUCGGGAACCGUGAGACAGGUGCUGCAUGGCUGUCGUCAGCUCGUGUUGUGAAAUGUUGGGUUAAGUCCCGCAACGAGCGCAACCCUUAUCCUUUGUUGCCAGCGAUUCGGUCGGGAACUCAAAGGAGACUGCCAGUGAUAAACUGGAGGAAGGUGGGGAUGACGUCAAGUCAUCAUGGCCCUUACGACCAGGGCUACACACGUGCUACAAUGGCGCAUACAAAGAGAAGCGACCUCGCGAGAGCAAGCGGACCUCAUAAAGUGCGUCGUAGUCCGGAUUGGAGUCUGCAACUCGACUCCAUGAAGUCGGAAUCGCUAGUAAUCGUGGAUCAGAAUGCCACGGUGAAUACGUUCCCGGGCCUUGUACACACCGCCCGUCACACCAUGGGAGUGGGUUGCAAAAGAAGUAGGUAGCUUAACCUUCGGGAGGGCGCUUACCACUUUGUGAUUCAUGACUGGGGUGAAGUCGUAACAAGGUAACCGUAGGGGAACCUGCGGUUGGAUCACCUCCUUA